AUUGAACGCUGGCGGCAGGCCUAACACAUGCAAGUCGAACGGUAACAGGAAGCAGCUUGUUGCUUCGCUGACGAGUGGCGGACGGGUGAGUAAUGUCUGGGAAGCUGCCUGAUGGAGGGGGAUAACUACUGGAAACGGUAGCUAAUACCGCAUAAUGUCGCAAGACCAAAGAGGGGGACCUUCGGGCCUCUUGCCAUCGGAUGUGCCCAGAUGGGAUUAGCUUGUUGGUGGGGUAACGGCUCACCAAGGCGACGAUCCCUAGCUGGUCUGAGAGGAUGACCAGCCACACUGGAACUGAGACACGGUCCAGACUCCUACGGGAGGCAGCAGUGGGGAAUAUUGCACAAUGGGCGCAAGCCUGAUGCAGCCAUGCCGCGUGUAUGAAGAAGGCCUUCGGGUUGUAAAGUACUUUCAGCGGGGAGGAAGGGAGUAAAGUUAAUACCUUUGCUCAUUGACGUUACCCGCAGAAGAAGCACCGGCUAACUCCGUG
rnacentral:rRNA from 1 species